GACGGAGGGGGCUAGCGUUGUUCGGAAUGACUGGGCGUAAAGGGCGCGUAGGCGGCUUGGUCAGUCGGGUGUGAAAGCCCGGGGCUCAACCCCGGAACGGCAUCCGAUACGGCCAGGCUGGAGACCGGGAGAGGAGGGUGGAAUACCCCGUGUAGAGGUGAAAUUCGUAGAUAUUGGGUGGAACACCGGUGGCGAAAGCGGCUCUCUGGCCCGGAUCUGACGCUGAGGCGCGAAAGCGUGGGGAGCAAACAGG
rnacentral:rRNA from 1 species